AAUCAACGCUGGCGGCGUGCCUCAGACAUGCAAGUCGAACGGUUAAGACUCUCUUCGGAGAGUGUAUAAAGUGGCGCACGGGUGAGUAACACGUAGGUAAUGUGCCUUUGGGUGGGGAAUAACUUAGGGAAACUUAAGCUAAUACCGCAUAAUGCAGCGGCUCGACAUCGAGACAGUUGUUAAAGAUUUAUCGCCUAAAGAGCAGCCUGCGGCAGAUUAGCUAGUUGGUAAGGUAAUGGCUUACCAAGGCUACGAUCUGUAAACGACCUGAGAGGGUGGUCGGUCACACUGGCACUGAAUGACGGGUCAGACUCCUACGGGAGGCAGCAGUCGGGAAUUUUGGGCAAUGGGCGAAAGCCUGACCCAGCAACGCCGCGUGAAGGAUGAAGUAUUUCGGUAUGUAAACUUCGUAAGAAUAGGAAGAAUAAAUGACGGUACUAUUUGUAAGGUCCGGCUAACUACGUGCCAGCCGCCGCAGUAAUAC
rnacentral:rRNA from 1 species